rnacentral:rRNA from 1 species
UACGUAGGGACCAAGCGUUGUCCGGAAUCAUUGGGCGGAAAGCGCGUGUAGGCGGCUUGUUAAGUCUUGCGUGAAAUCUCGGGGCUCAACCCCGAGCGGUCGUGAGAAACUGGCAGGCUAGAGUGCGGGAGAGGAGAGUGGAAUUCCUGGUGUAGCGGUGAAAUGCGCAGAUAUCAGGAAGAACACCCGUGGCGAAGGCGGCUCUCUGGAACGCAACUGACGCUGAGACGCGAAAGCGUGGGGAGCAAACAGG